rnacentral:lncRNA from 1 species
GGCCUGCACAGGGCUGUGGAAUCGUCUCGGAGCAAUAGUCUAGUAUCUUUGUGUGCUGUUGUGAAAAGAGCUUGGCUGUGGUAAGGACACAAAGUGGAGGUGGCAUGGUACUUAUCAGAUAGUAGCACUAGGUCUGCCUAGACACCUCGCUAAAGCUAAUCACCUAAAUGUGGAGCUCAGCACGGGAUCAGAAGAGUCCUGAGUCACUCAGGAUGAUUGCUCCUAUAGCAACGAUAGGAACCCGGGUGUGUACAUACAGCCCAUCUCAGUAUGGAGCGCAGUUCACAAUGCAUGAAGACCUAUCAUCACAUAAUGGUGACCAGGGCUUCUCUCUACCACAUGUAAAUGCCCCGUGGAGCUCAUCAGUGGAGCCAUGCAGCUGCAC